AUUCAUCUGACAAGUCCCAAAUAGGGCGAAACUCGUGUCCUGGAU
rnacentral:hammerhead_ribozyme from 1 species